UACGUAGGGGGCAAGCGUUGUCCGGAAUCAUUGGGCGUAAAGAGCGUGUAGGCGGCCAGAUAAGUCCGCUGUGAAAACUCGAGGCUCAACUUCGAGCUGUCGGCGGAAACUAUCUGGCUAGAGUCCGGAAGAGGCGAGUGGAGCUCCUGGUGUAGCGGUGGAAUGCGCAGAUAUCAGGAAGAACACCAACGGCGAAGGCAGCUCGCUGGGACGGUACUGACGCUGAGACGCGAAAGCGUGGGGAGCGAACAGG
rnacentral:rRNA from 1 species